rnacentral:rRNA from 1 species
GCCCUUUUCCGGUUGAUCCUGCCGGAGGCCAUUGCUAUCGGGAUCCGAUUUAGCCAUGCUAGAUCGUACGGGUUUUGACCCGUGGCGGAAAGCUCAGUAACACGUGGCCAAACUACCCUAUGGACCGGGAUAACCUCGGGAAACUGAGGCUAAUACCGGACAACGGUCUCAUGUUUGAACGCAGAGAUCGUGAAAUGCUCCGGCGCCAUAGGAUGUGGCUGCGGCCGAUUAGGUUGACGGUGGGGUAACGGCCCACCGUGCCCAUAAUCGGUACGGGUUGUGAGAGCAAGAACCCGGAGACGGUAUCUGAGACAAGAUACCGGGCCCUACGGGGCGCAGCAGGCGCGAAACCUUUACACUGCACGCGAGUGCGAUAAGGGGAUCCCGAGUGCGAGGGCAUAUCCUCCUCGCUUUUCUCGACCGUAAAGUGGUCCAGGAACAAGGGCUGGGCGAGACCGGUGCCAGCCGCCGCGGUAACACCGGCAGCCCAAGUGAUGGCCGAUAUUACUGGGCCUAAAGCGUCCGUAGCCGGCCAGACGGGUCCGUCGGGAAAUCUGCACGCCCAACGUGCAGGCGUCCGGCGGAAACCAGCUGGCUUGGGGCCGGAAGACCCAGGGGGUACGUCUGGGGUAGGAGUGAAAUCCUGUAAUCCCA